AUUGAACGCUGGCGGCAGGCCUAACACAUGCAAGUCGAACGACUCGCGGACGGGUGAGUUAUGUCUGAUCUACUCUCCACUGGAGAGGGAUAACUACUGGAAACGGUAGCUACCACCUACUACCAUCGGAUGUGCCCUCAUGUGAUUAGCUAGUAGGUGGGGUAACGGCUCACCUAGGCGACGAUGCCUAGCUGGUCUGAGAGGAUGAGCAGCCACACGGGAACUGAGACGCGGUCCAGAAUCCUACGUGAGGCAGCAGUGGGGAAUCUUGCACAAGGGGCGCAAGGGUGAUGCAGCCAAGCCGCGAGUAUGAAGAGGGCCUUCGGGUUGUAGAGUACGUUCAGCGGGGAGGCGGUACCCGCAGAAGAAGCACCGGCUAACUCCGUGCCAGCAGCCGCGGUAAUAC
rnacentral:rRNA from 1 species